rnacentral:rRNA from 1 species
GACGAACGCUGGCGGCGUGCUUAACACAUGCAAGUCGAACGGUGAAGGGACCGGUUUUUGCUGGUCCUGGAUGAGUGGCGAACGGGUGAGUAACACGUGAGUAACCUGCCCCCUUCUUCUGGAUAACCGCAUGAAAGUGUGGCUAAUACGGGAUAUUCUGGGUCUGUCGCAUGGUGGGCCUGGGAAAGAUGCGCCUUUGGGUGUUUUUGGUGGGGGAUGGGCUCGCGGCCUAUCAGCUUGUUGGUGGGGUGAUGGCCUACCAAGGCGGUGACGGGUAGCCGGCCUGAGAGGGUGGACGGUCACACUGGGACUGAGACACGGCCCAGACUCCUACGGGAGGCAGCAGUGGGGAAUAUUGCACAAGGGGCGCAAGCCUGAUGAAGCGACACAGCGUGAGGGGUGGACGUUUUUCGGUUGUAACCCUCUUUCGCCCCCGAAGCAGAACUGCCCCUUUUCUGGGUGGAUUGACGAAAGCUGACUUUAAUAGUCGGGCUAUCUACUUUUCCCUGGGGCGGUACUACCUGCCCCCCCACGUUUGGCCCGAGUUUUCUUCCCCCAAACAAAACCAACAAAGGUGGUCUCGUCUGCGGGGGAC